rnacentral:misc_RNA from 1 species
GAAAUGCGAUAAGUAAUGUGAAUUGCAGAAUUCAGUGAAUCAUCGAAUCUUUGAACGCACCUUGCGCUCCUUGGUAUUCCGAGGAGCAUGCCUGUUUGAGUGUCAUGGUAUUCUCAACUCUACAAAGCUUUUGCAAUGCAGAGUUGGAUUUGGAGGUUUGUGUCGGCUUGAGAAAGUUGACUCCUCUGAAAUGCAUUAGUGUGAACCUUUACGGAUCGCCUCCAGUGUGAUAAUGUCUACACUGUGGCGUUGAAGUAUCUCUAGUGUUCAUGCUUCUAAUCGUCUCUUUGAGACAAUUACUUGACAAUCUGACCUCAAAUCAGGUAGGACUACCCGCUGAACUUAA